GGAGUCAACCUGCCCUCGGGUCGAGCAUAAUCUCGGGAAAUGAGGCUAAUUCUCGAUAGAUCAAGAUUCCUGGAAUGGGUUUUGGUCCAAACGGCGUAACAGCAUCUUGUUAUUUUCGCCCGAGGAUGGGACUGCGGCCGAUCAGGCUGUUGGUGGGGUAAAGGCCCACCAAACCAGUAACCGGUACGGGCUUUGAGAGAAGGAGCCCGGAGAUGGACACUGAGACAAGGGUCCAGGUCCUACGGGGCGCAGCAGGCGCGAAACCUUCGCAAUGCGCGCAAGCGCGACGAGGUUAUUCUGAGUGAUUUCCGCUGAGGAAAUCUUUUCUUAGAUCUAAAAAGUCUGGGGAAUAAGGGGAGGGCAAGUCUGGUGUCAGCCGCCGCGGUAAUACCAGCUCCUCGAGUGGUCAGGGCGUUUAUUGGGCCUAAAGCAUCCGUAGCCUGCUCAGUAGGUCUCCUGUUAAAUCCAACGGCUCAACCGUUGGUCUGCAGGAGAUACCGCUGGGCUAGGANGCGGGAGAGGCGNAC
rnacentral:rRNA from 1 species